AACUUUCAAGAAUCAAAAUCAAAUAUGUACAGAAGAAGAAGCAGCAGCGCCGAGGGUAUCGGAUCUGGGAAACGGCUGGGCGGCGAUUACAUACAUACAAGGGUCUCGGAUCUGGGAAACGGCUGGGCGGCGGAACGGCGAGGGUCGAGGGUAUCGGAAGUCUCAGAUCUGGGGGCGAUUGGCGAGGGUCGCGACGUCACGGAGACGGGAGAGAAGGUGGCUGAGCGACGCUGCUGCUGUACCGCGACGGCAAGGCGCUGCUCCGACUGCCUCUCCCUUGAAAUCGAAGGAAAGGGUUUAGGAUUUUGGGGAUUUCCUUUUUGACUAGAGAGAGAAGCAAGAUAGGGGGAAGGGGAGCCGGCGACGGCGACAUAGCUUUCGUCGCCGGCGAUGGAGAAGUGGCGAGGCGGCUGGUGAGAGAGAGAUGGCGGAGAGAGGAGGAGAAUGGGG
rnacentral:lncRNA from 1 species